CUUUUUGCCUUCAUUACAAUAUUAUUUUUUUCAGAAAGCGACCAUGAAGUCGAUUCAGUGUUUAGCAUGUUCAAUGAAAGCUUAGCUAUAUAAUAUUUUUCAGAGACAUUAUCCCUCUGCUAUCCUUAGGUUAUUUGACUUAAUGGCUACAUUAUAUAUUUCCUUGCUGUACUAUCCUGUAGAUAUUAUAUUGUUCAAACUCUC